UUAAAUGAUGAAUUACAUUAAUAUGAGUGAACAAUCUCUGAGGAUCUUUUGAUCCUGUGAUUGAUAAACUUUAAUGUUGCCUUCCUUCUGAAA